rnacentral:rRNA from 1 species
UCCUACGGGAGGCAGCAGUGGGGAAUAUUGGACAAUGGGGGGAACCCCGAUCCAGCCAUGCCGCGUGUGUGAAGAAGGCCUUUUGGUUGUAAAGCACUUUAAGCGAGGAGGAGGCUACUCUAGUUAAUACCUAGGGAUAGUGGACGUUACUCGCAGAAUAAGCACCGGCUAACUCUGUGCCAGCAGCCGCGGUAAU